ACAGUUGGCUGGGGGUGCCCAUCACAUCAUUGGGCUGAGAUCAUACCCUUAGAACCUGAGACUGGGUCAUACCAGCGGAGGGAAGCGUCACCAUUUCGCC
rnacentral:ncRNA from 2 species